UACGGGGGGGGGCAAGCGUUGUUCGGAAUUACUGGGCGUAAAGGGCUCGUAGGCGGCCAACUAAGUCAUACGUGAAAUCCCUCGGCUUAACCGGGGAACUGCGUCUGAUACUGGAUGGCUUGAGUUCGGGAGAGGGAUGCGGAAUUCCAGGUGUAGCGGUGAAAUGCGUAGAGAUGUGGAGGAACACCAGUGGCGAAGGCGACUCUUUGGCCUGUAACUGACGCUGAGGCGCGAAAGCGUGGGGAGCAAACAGG
rnacentral:rRNA from 1 species